GGUCCACCUGCAACUGAAGCUGCAACUGAAGCUGCACGUGCACUGAAGGGAGGUGGACGCACCGUGAACCUCAUACUCUACAAUAAGAGAGCCUCUUGAGUGGCAGAUAGUCUGGUAAAGGUCAGCGGCUGGUUGCUGGAGGCUCGUAUACGGGUCAUCUGGGUCGUCUUCAACCUACGAGAGAAGAUAUUCUGACUGUGAUACUGACUUGUUACCAUGGAAACGUCAGCUUGUCAGUAAGCGGUUGGAGGUCACAUGAGGGAGUUUAAAAAGAUCAAGCCAAAGAUGAGUCCAGCUACAGUGAUGGUUACACCGAUUGAAGCACUUAGGAUUGCCAUGAAAGUAACACUGAAGAUGAAUCGCUCCACUAAAAUGUCUGUAAAUACAAGAAAUGUUUGAUGAAUGACGUUGGUAUUUACUCACUUUGUAGAGAAAUAUUAUAAUUUUGAUAUUUUGUAAGAUUAUAUUGUUGCUAAUUAAAAACACUGCUACUACUCACAAAAACACAACUUCUAUGAUCACAGAUGUUAAAUAAACUCUACUCUCUGGUCUCUG